CUCCCUCUUUCAACUCACGUUGUCGUCUCUUUGAGAUACCCCAAAAUCGCAAUCAGCUUUCCUUGUAGCUUUCUUUGUUUAUCGAUUAUAAAAAAGGGAAGCUUUUUAUUCUUUCAUUUGAAGCGUAGCAUCACCAUGGUUGAGACAUCUGGUACUUUCGGUGGCAGGUUAGUAAAUCUACACUUUCUUGGCAAGUUUUUGUUUCCAAUAUCUUCUAUUCUUUAAUGUUUUGGUUUCUUUAAUAUCUGGUAAAAAAUUAGGGUUUUCAAUUCAUUUGAAAUGGUUAUUGUAAUGUUUUUGAGUUUGUUUACGUACUGAAUCCGCAACACCAUCAGUUAAUAUAUAUUUUGAUUGUAAGCUAUGAAAUCAAGAUUAUGCAAUUUUAGGAUUAAACAAGGUAAAAUCAUAAAUUUUGGUCCCCUUUCAAAUUGUACGUUGUCUAUCAAUAUUAUGCAUCAGGUAUGGCUUUAAAAGUUCAUGUAAUUAUGGUCAUCCUUGAUGUUCAAGAAAUGAUAACGCGAUUCUCUUUUUAUGUCCAGUUCUUUUCUUCUCUUUCAGAAGUUAGAAGUUACGGAAGAAGAAAAUUAGAGUAUUUGAGCUUGAAUCUGUCAAAAAUCCUCAUAGCGCUUCAUGUUUGUGGUUUGUUAUCGUUAUUAUUAAGCAUUUAAGAUUUGAUUUACUUGAUUUUAUAAACUUUAAUAGGUUAAGACUCGACUUUCAUAAAUAUAGCAGCAGUUGCUAACGAGGAGGCUAGGCGUCAUGUACAUUCUGAUGAAAGGCGAGAAAGGUACCUGGUUUAUCCAUCCAACACGAAUAUGGGUUGAGGCGGUGUCGAGUUCAUAAGGAAGUUGGUUAUCUAUAAUACAUUAUUAAAGAGGAAGGAUGGGCACAAAAGUAUUUUACACAUAUUUUAAGAUGGCAUAUGAAAGGCUUUAUGUUCAAAAAUUUCAUUACCCUAAAUUAAUACCCAAAGUGCCCCUUCUACUCACACAAAAGCUACAUGGGGCAAAAAGGGAACGGCCACGCCACCACACACCCGGUUCAGAUUCUCACCUGUGGUUUUUUCAGCUACCAUUCUAUUCAAUGCCAUUGCAUACGUAUCGGCUCCUACCACUGCCAUAUGAUAACCCUCUGAAUUUAAUGCUUCACAUUGAUGCCUUCCACUUACUCUACUUGAUGACCACAAUCAAUUGGUUACGAGAAUGGAGAUUCCACACGGGCUGCAUUUCCUUUUCCUUGCAUAACCACUAACCAGUAUUUCAGUUUUCUUGAUAUGAUUUUAAAACCAUCGCACGAAAGAUUUUGAUACGGCUUGAAAUAAAUAUUAAAUUAUAAUGGCAAAUGCGGUAGAG